CCCAACACACGCACACAGUAAGAAAGAAAGAAACAAAGGGAGAGAGAGAGCGAAUAGGAGAAAAGGGAAAUAGAGAGAGGAAUCCGAGAGAGAACAGAGGAGGUGGAAGGGCUGCUGCCUCGCCGCGCCAUGUCGCGUUGCCGUCCAGCCGCGUCGAAGAAGGAGAGGCAUCGCCGUCACCGUCGAAUGGGCCAAUUGAGGGAGAGUGCGAGAUGAACGGGAGAGCUCGCGAUGGAGAGAGGGAAGAUGCCGCCACUGUACGAGUCGCCGUCGAGCUCGCCGAGCAGAAGCUUGUCGCCGCCAUUCACGCAUCUAUCGCCGUCCGAGGAGCUUCCAUGGCCGCUGCCGUCGAGCUCACAAGUGAGAGAAAGAGAGUUCGCAUGUGAGAGAGGACGGUGUUGCGUCGUCGUUCGUUGUUGCGCAGCCACCGCCAUGCCUUGUCGUCGUCGCCAAAGCCGCCAUCGUCGCCACGUCUCACCGCCGAAGGGGAGUCUUGCCAACGCCAUUGCCGAAACCAGGCCAGAUUCACCGGCUGUCGCGGCGUCGUUAAGGUGCUUCGAAGGGGGAGACACGUGACAAGGAGUUGGAAUUACUGCUGUCACACUGCUGCUGAGGGCCAGCCACCGCGCCGAGCUUCUGCCACCGUCAGGUCUACCGUCUGGUCACCAUGUAUUGCGCAGGUGUAGCCGGAAUCACUGCCGGAGCUGCUGCCGCUUCGUUCAUCCUUUCUUUUUGCGAGUUGCUGUGAUUGCUGCGAAAAUGGGUUAGAACUGAGGAUGCGGCUGCCACCGUUGCGGGCCAAGAGAAAUCAGAGUUUUGUCACGUAAUUGAGUCACGAACGAGGUAUGGGUGCUUUUCUUAAACUCAUUUUAUUUCAAAAAUUAUUAUAAAUCGAUAUUAAUGCAAUAUAUAUUUUUGUGAUUUCGUAAGUCUUAUGGAUUGAUUUGAGUUGCUUUGAACCAUUGUAAUUGUUUGUUGUUGAAUUAUUGAUUAUUUGAGAAGAUUGAAUACUUUAGGUUAUUGAAUGAUUUUUGUUAAAUUGGUGGUUGCCGAAUUGAUUUUUUGAGAUUUUAAAAUAGUUUGCUAUUGGAAAUGAGUCUGAGUUGUUAAAAAGGGUUUGAGACAUUGGAUUUGGAUUGUUGAUUUAUCGGAAAUGAUUUCUGAGAAUUGAAAUUGAUUUGAGAUAUUGGAAUUGGUGUGAUUUAGAAAUGAUUUAAAGGAGUUUGAGGAAUAUUUGGAUGGGAUUCGAAAAGAGUGGCAAAGUCCAAGUUUUAGGGGAGGUACUACCAAAAUUUCUAUAAAAUUUGGGACUUGUUUGAAAUUUUGUUCAGAAAAUUAUGAAUUUAAGAAUUAUAUUAUUUUACUUGAAUUAUUUUAAGAAAAUGAUAAAGUACUAAAUUGGUCCCCUAUAUUUGUGCAUAAUCCUGUUUUGGUCCUUAAAGUUUAAAGUGUGUUAUUUGAAUCCAAAAAAGUUUCAUUUAGCUUCAACGUAGUCUCACCCUGAUGUUAAAGUUAAAAAAUUAAUGGAAUAUCUUACA